CGUUUGUAGCCUCCUAUUAGUAACCCCACGCCCCUUAGGGCUUCCCUGAGCUUCACAGCAGCAGGAGAAGAGGUAGGGGAGUUCUCCACACCCUCCCUCUCUAUUUCUUUGAUCUUGAUUGGUUUAAUUUGUGAAUUAAGCUUCUCUUUUUCCCUCUUUUUGCUUCAUGGUGUUCUCCCUCCAUGGAAGGAGCUUGAGACUUGGUUUUGGAGCUUGUUUGAGGGAAGAUUUUCAGAUCUUGGGGACUUGGAUACUUGUUGGAGGCUUCCAAAGAGGUUAGAAGCUUAGUUCUUCCUUUUGAUCCUUAAUUUAUUGGAUUUUAUGAGAUGAAACCCUAGUUUGUGAUAUUAGGGUUUAUUUUGGGUAUUUUGAAUCUAGGGCUUUUGAAGCUAGAUUGAGUAGAUUAGAGGCUUCCAUUAGGUUGGAUUGGAUGGACCCUAGCUCUCUUUUGGAGCUUUAGAAGAGAUUUUUGCACUUGAGGUGAGUUCUCUCCACCUAUGCUUGAAAGGCUUAAUGAUUGAACUUAGCGUCAUUCGUUUCGACUAGAUGACACUUGUUUUCAUACCUUUAGGGUACUAGGAGUGUGGUGGACGCCUUCGUCGUGGCAAACGAAAGCUUUCGUUGACGACGGUGGGUUUGGCUUCGUGGAAAUGGGGCGAAAUGGCCCCUAUGCUCUUUCUACUUGUUGUAAAAUAUUUUUAAAUUCAUUUCUAUGCUAAAUGAAAUUUAUAUGAAUUUUAUAGCACUUAAAAUGUAUGCCUUGUGUAUUAUGAAAAUUUUACUAUAUAGUAGAGCUAUAUGAGUAGAAUGCAUGCAUACGGGAAAAGUGUUUAUUUUGCAAGUGAAAAAUACAUCUCUUAUGAGGAUUAUGACUUGGAAUAUGUACUUUGGAACAUAGUUGUCAUGCUUUGACAUAGAGAACAAGAGUGUCAUAAAAGGGCACUUGAAACUAGUAAACUAUAAAACUGCAACGUAGAGACAUAUUGAUAGGCACUACAUAUCUGCUAUAUUCCAUGUUAGAGACAUGAUGACAUAGGGAUAGGCCAUUGAGAUACUUGACACAUUCCAUGUUAUUAGACAUGAGGACUUGGUACUUGCGACAGAUCGUUU
rnacentral:lncRNA from 1 species